CUCCCAUACCCCGCCGUCGCCACUCCACCUUCCCUCCUCACGUCGCUCCCUGUUGCCGCCGGCGUUGAACCAUCAUGCACCAGCCGCCUCCCAUCUAUCCCACAGCAGACCCCUCCCCGUCUACCUCACUCCAUGGCCCUUCUAUGCAGAUCGCGCCCUCGACCUGCGGCAGCCCAGUCCCGCAUCUCGAGCUGAUGCGGCCACGGUGGCGGCGGGACUGACUGCCGGGUUUGGAACCCCCUGAUGUCGCCGACGGCGGGCACGGAUCCAGCUCCAUCCGGUGGCGAGACACACACACGCGCUUCUCCUCGAAUGGUCAGCCGCAAAUCUGAGACGCACGACGACGCACCGGCCGCAUCGAUUUCAACUGGUAUUGCUGAAGCUAUCCACGAGAACCAUUUCCUCUCCUACACAAUUCCUGCUAUAGGAACUGAAUAUCUCAUGAGAAAAUCACGCACAGGGGGCAGCUCCUUGCAAUGUAUAGUGCAAUGCCUGAUCUAGUACAUAUGUUGUCCCAAUGGAUAUGGGCAUUUACAACUGAUUUGAGAUCCUUUCAUAUAACUACCAUCACUAUCACCAGGAGGAUAGUUUCUAAAAUGAAGCCUACUAGGUAUAGCAGAGAAGUGAAUGUGCGACGGUGAUGUCGAUUGUUGGCUGCCAGUGUGGACCAACAAAUAUGCCGAGACAAACAGCAGUUGAUGGAAGCGUCCAAAUCGAGCCAG